rnacentral:rRNA from 1 species
UACGUAGGGUGCGAGCGUUAAUCGGAAUUACUGGGCGUAAAGCGUGCGCAGGCGGUUUUGUAAGACAGACGUGAAAUCCCCGGGCUUAACCUGGGAACUGCGUUUGUGACUGCAAGACUAGAGUACGGCAGAGGGGGGUAGAAUUCCACGUGUAGCAGUGAAAUGCGUAGAUAUGUGGAGGAAUACCGAUGGCGAAGGCAGCCCCCUGGGUCGAUACUGACGCUCAUGCACGAAAGCGUGGGGAGCAAACAGG